rnacentral:tRNA from 1 species
GCCCCGGUAGCUCAGUUGGUAGAGCGUUUGCAUGGUAAGCAAAAGGUCGCGAGUUCGAGUCUCGCCCGGGGCU